UACGUAUGUCCCGAGCGUUAUCCGGAUUUAUUGGGCGUAAAGCGAGCGCAGACGGUUGAUUAAGUCUGAUGUGAAAGCCCGGAGCUCAACUCCGGAAUGGCAUUGGAAACUGGUUAACUUGAGUGUUGUAGAGGUAAGUGGAACUCCAUGUGUAGCGGUGGAAUGCGUAGAUAUAUGGAAGAACACCAGUGGCGAAGGCGGCUUACUGGACAACAACUGACGUUGAGUCUCGAAAGUGUGGGUAGCAAACAGG
rnacentral:rRNA from 1 species